ensembl:lncRNA
ACACAGGCGUUAAUAGCAUCUUUCCUAUGAGACUGUAGAUAGUGGCAUUGUAACUUUAAGAGGGAGGAGAAUUUGAGUGAAUAGCAGUUGAUCUUUGGUGAGUGAGGAGAUAUUGAAUGAUGUUCAGAGAAAAGAGAAGAUAGAAAAUCUCUUCCCUGGAAGAACUGGUUGAACUCUUAUCUUAUGAAGAAACUUUAAUUGUUAGCCUAAGAUAAUUGAAUUAUAGAACUAUGUUUUCAGAAUAGAGAAGUCAGCAAUGGUUGUGUUCACAGGAUCAUGUAGUUAGGACUAGAAGGGACCUUAGAGGUCAUAGAAAUCUAAACCCUCUCAUUUAACAGAUGAAGAAACCAAGGCUGAGAGAAACUUAGAGACUUGCCCCAAAUCAGACAGGUAGUUAGUGUUUAAGGAAAGAGCUGAACUCAAGUUUCCUUCCUCAUAGUCUAAUAUUCUAUCCACUGGAUCAUUGAGCUUUGUUACUCCUUUAAAUAAUAAAUUGUGAUCUCACCCAGAUGAGAAUUCAGUGCAAUUAAAACGCAUUCUGAGAAGUGAGUAAGGACUUCUAGGAACUGGAGUCCUGGGUUCAAGUCUCCAUUUUUUAUAAUUCGCCAUGUGAUCAUUUUGGGAAAGAUUUUCCCCAAAAGGAUCAUGAAAACAUAAUCAACUUAAAGAUACAAUAAUUUGAGGAUAAGAGAGGGCUAUGAUCUUUCUCAUAGCCAAUAUACUGUAAUAAUUCUUUAUAUGUUUGUUUUAUUUGUUUUAUACUGUUAUUUGUAUGAUUUAGAACUUUGAUGUUUAUUUAAGUUUAGGAGAUGAGAGUGGUAGUAAUAUAGAGAGAUGAACAAAAUCUUUCAGGAAAAGGAAUUUUUCCAAUUCAAAAUGUACCCUCUGAAAGUCGAAUAAGAAUGAGUAAGGAAAAUGAACUAGUAGCAGCAUAUUGUUUAUCUUUCAUCCUUAAAAAAAAAAAAAAAAAAAAAAAAAAAAAAAAAAAAAAAAAAAAAAAAAAAAAAAAAAAAAAGAACAUAAAAUGAAAAAAUAUAUGAGAAAAAUGAGCUAGUAGCACUGAGAGGGAGACUGGUUGUCCUUCAUAGGCUACUAAUGACAAUGGUCAAUCCUAAACCCCUGUUACUCUUGUUUUUACUUGCACUUCUUUUGGCUCUUUCAUAAGGCAAUACCUUCCCAUAAUCUUCCAUCUUUUCUUUUGUAAAAUUUUAGAAAAUAGUUUAUAUUCUAAACCUGUGGCUGAUGUAACUCUUUAGUUUGCAAGGAGAUAAGUAUUUAUGGCUGGGGGGCAGUUUUUCAACUCCUCUUUUAGCAAGUAAUUUAUAUUAGUUAAAUUUCUUUGUAACUGGUGAUAAUGGAUGUUGAUGUAUGAUUCUUUCCAUGAUCUUCUGCCCUUUUCCAUCACACAGUCAUUUUCACUAUAGAAGUAGAAGGAGACUACAAUCAGUCAGUCACUAACAUUUAAGUGCCUACUUCAUGGUAGGCACUGUGGGAACCAAGGAAGAGAAAAGGUAGUCCUCUCAAGGAUCUCAUAGUUUAAUUGGGGGAGAUGACAGGCAAGCAACUACGUACACACAAGAUGUUAAGGAUAAAUAUGAAAUAACUGUUAGGUAUAAAGUACUAGAAUUAAGAGGGAUCAGAAAGGGCUUCCUGCAGAUGGUGAAAUUUUAGUAUAAUCCUUUCAUGUUAUGAUUGAGGAAAUGGAGGUCCACAGAGGUUAACUGACUUGCUCAAGGUCAUACAGAUAAUAAGCAGAAAGCCUGGAACUUGCUACCUCUUCAUCUUGGUCUUUGGGUCUCCCUAGAUUUCUUCAAGUCCUAGAUAAAAUUUUAUUUUCUAUAAGAAGUCUCUCCCAGGGGACAGCUAGAUGACUUAGUGUAUUGAGAACCAGGUGCAGAGAUGGGAGUUCCUGGGUUCAAAUCUGGCCUUGGACACUUCUUAGCUCAGUGACCCUGGGCAAGAUACUUAGCCCCCAUUGCCUAGCCUUUACAACUCUUCUGCCUUAGAACCAAGACACAAUAUUGUGCCAGACAGAAGGUAGGAGUUAAAAAAAUAAAAGCCUCUCCCAAUCAUCUUUAAAUCUAUUG